AGGGAGACAGGUAGACCGGGUGCUCAUUACACGAGGACAGAGGGAGACAGGUAGACCGGGUGCUCAAUACACGAGGACAGAGGGAGACAGGUAGACCGGGUGCUCAAUACACGAGGACAGAGGGAGACAGGUAGACCGGGUGCUCAAUACACGAGGACAGAGGGAGACAGGUAGACCGGGUGCUCAAUACACGAGGACAGAG